rnacentral:rRNA from 1 species
GACGAACGCUGGCGGCGUGCUUAACACAUGCAAGUCGAACGGAAAGGCCCUGCUUGCAGGGUGCUCGCGUGGCGAACGGGUGUGUAACACGUGGGUGAACUGCCCCUUACUUUUGGAUAAGCCUGGGGAACUGGGUCUCAUACUGGAUAGGACCAUGCCGUCGGCGGUGUGGUGGAAGGAUUAGUUUCGGUAAGGGAUGAGCUCGCGGCGUAUCAGCUUGUUGGUGGGGUAAUGGCGUCUCAAGGCGGCGACGGGUAGCCGGCGUGAGAGGGUGGACGGCCGCAUUGUGACUGAGAUACGGCCCAGACGCCUACGGGGGGCAGCAGUGGGGAGUAUUGCACAAUGGGGGCAGGCCUGAUGCAGCGGCGACGCGUGGGGGAUGACGGCCGUCGGGUUGUAAACACCUUCCAGCCAUGGCGAAGCCCUUGUGGUGACGGUAGUGGUAGAAGAAGCACCGGCUAACUACGUG